CAGCCAAUAUUAUGUGUUUAAGAUUAUGAUUGCAUGUGGAUAUUAAUGUAGUGACGUAUGUAUGUAUGUACAUGUAUACAUGUAAGUAUAGUAACAAGUAUAAUUAAUAGGUGAAACCAAAAGCAACAUCAUAACUGAUGAUACACUAUGCACACCUGAAAUAUCAGAUGGGGCAAGAAAACAUCGAUUGGGUUCAAAUAAUCACAAACAUGAAGAUGACCCUCUUGAUAUCAAAGGAACAAAUUUAUCAGAGAGAAUAAGUAAACAAAAUGAGGCAGACAUUGAACUGGACCAUAUUGUACAGUCAGGUCGCAUAAAAGGAAGACGACCACAAAUAUCAAUGAGACCCUCAUUUUCAGAAUUGGUGGAAUCAAAUGAUUUUGAAUGCCCAAAUUUAAAAAGACAAAAAAAGGAAUAAUGACUUAAUCACUGUUACAUGCACUGUAUAUCUCAAUUAGUACAAACAUUAUUAAUAUUAUUAUAGUGUUGUUAUUUAUCAAUAGUGUUGUUACGUUGUCCUUGUAUUUGAAU